UACAGAGGGGGCGAGCGUUGUUCGGAAUUACUGGGCGUAAAGGGCGCGUAGGCGGCCAACUAAGUCAGACGUGAAAUCCCUCGGCUCAACCGGGGAACUGCGUCUGAUACUGGAUGGCUUGAAUUCGGGAGAGGGAUGCGGAAUUCCUGGUGUAGCGGUGAAAUGCGCAGAUAUCAGGAGGAACACCAGCGGCGAAGGCGGCGCUCUGGGCCGGUACUGACGCUGAGGAGCGAAAGCGUGGGUAGCAAACAGG
rnacentral:rRNA from 1 species